GACGAACGCUGGCGGCGUGCUUAACACAUGCAAGUCGAACGGAAAGGCCCUGCUUUUGUGGGUGCCUGAAGGGGCGAACGGGUGAGUAACACGUGGGUAACCUGCCUUUACUUUUGGGAUAACUUCGGGAAACGGGGGCUAAUACCGGAUAGGAGUUCCGCCGCCAUGGGGGGGUUUGAAAAGUUCGGGGGUUGGGGGAGGGGGCGGGGGGUACCCGCUUGGUGGUGGGGGUGUGGGCUACCAAGGCUUUGCCGGGCAGCCGGACUGAGAGGGAGACCGGGCACAGUGGGCUUGAGAUGCGACCAGGACUCCUACGGGAGGCAGCAGUGGGGGAUAGUGCACAAUGGGCGGAAGCCUGAUGCAGCAACGCCGCGUGCGGGAUGACUGCCGUCGGGUUGUAAACCGCUUUCGCCGGUGACGAAGCGUGAGUGACGGUAAUGGGUAAAGAAGCACCGGCUAACUACGUG
rnacentral:rRNA from 1 species